rnacentral:lncRNA from 1 species
CUUCCGUUGGGGGCCUCGGGGCUCAACCCGGGCCUCGAGGCGGAAGCCUUUCUUGUCGGCCGCGCUUUUCGACGUUUAGGGUUCAAUCUUUCAAGGGCGUUUACGGGAGAGAAGGAACUGAAUUCGGUGGCUUCUUAUCUUCCUAUUAAGAAUUCUGAAAAAUGUUGCCUACUUCAUCCAUCUUCACCACUCCAUACAACUUUAUAAGAUGGAUCCAUUUUCAAAUAAUUUUCUA